rnacentral:rRNA from 1 species
UACAGAGGGUGCGAGCGUUGUUCGGAAUUACUGGGCGUAAAGCGCGCGCAGGCGGCUUUUUAAGUCUGACGGUGAAAUGCCGGGGCUCAACCCCGUGCCCGCCGCGGAUACUGGGAAGCUGGAGACGAGUAGAGGCAAGCGGAAUUCCGGGUGUAGCGGUGGAAUGCGUAGAGAUCCGGAAGAACACCGGAGGCGAAGGCGGCUUGCUGGGCCAUUCCUGACGCUGAGACGCGAAAGCUAGGGGAGCGAACAGG